GGCCGGCGAGUCGGCGGCGGCGUCCGCUCCUUCCCCACGCAGUGCGGACCGCCCUCCCGCAGCCUAGAGCGGCUCCGCGGACCGCGGCGGCACCAGCGAGACAGGGCCGGCGAGCACGGCGAGGCGGGGAUAGAGCGGACGCGCACAGCUGCGGAGGGUGCCAGCGGCCUCUAGCGGGCGAACGGGGAGGUUCAGGCCUAACUGCGGAGAGGUGACCAUUGCCUCGCACGGAGAGCCGCACGGAGAGCCGCACGGAGAGCCGGAGGCAGAGAAGGGAAAAGCCACUCGCUUGUCAGAAAAAAGGCGGGAAAGAUGUCUCAGCAGUUAAAAGCACAGACUGCUCUUCCAGGAGGUUUGACUACCAACGCCCACACAGGGUCUCCGCCCACUAUAGCUCCGAUUUCAUGGGAUACCGCGCCCUCUUCUGGACUCCAAGGCACUUGCAUACGACUGAUGCACACAUCCAUGGCAACCAGACACAAACAUUAAAAAACAAACAACAGGUGCAUUGACCCACAAGGAGCGCCUCGUCGGCCCGUGCCUUGUGGCAUCGUGAAGACAGCUGGAAAAUACGGCAAAACAGGAAGUUAUCAUCUGAGGCCAGGGAUCAUCUUACAUACUUUUAAUCCCAGCACUCAGUAGGCAAAGGCAAAAUCUCUGUGAGUUCAAGACCAGCUUCAACUGCAGCUCCAGGACAGGACUCUCUAAAGAGAAGCUUCUCAAAAAGAAAAACAACAACAAAAACCCUACCAUUUGGUCAAGGGAAAAUUCAGAAAGGAAAGGAAGUAGGGCCAUGUUAAGAACACAGGAAAAAAAAAAAAAAAGACAUUACGGAGCAAGUUUACUGUCUUACUUCAACUGAAAGUUUAGCCUCAAGAGUCUGCAGGUGAACCAGUCAAACUAGUGGGGCUCCAACAUCUGGAGCGCUGUCCACAAGGUCAUCUACACUGCGUAGAGCAAAACAAAGAUCAAAUAGCUGCAUUGGGGCUGGCCUCAACUGCUGGGUCCCACACGACGGAAGGAGAAACUACCUGAUCACCCUCUGACUGCCACACCUGCACCAUCACAUACACGCAAGCACAUGCACAUGCACGCGCGCGCACACACACACACACAUAAAAUAAAAUUAAUUUUUUUUA